CCGACCCCGCCGCGGCCCUGGAGUCACGGGCGCGCCUCCGCGUCUCUACCUCCAGGGACUGUCCCGAGAAAGACGGGCGCGCUCCCGGGCUCGGGGAGAUCGCGAUUCCUUCCACGCGGGAGGUCGGGACCGAAAGGAAGGAGGAAGCCGAGACCCGUGUCGCGACGGGAGCCAGCGAUACCCGGCCCUGUGGAUGGGGUAUCUGGUGGGAGGACUUCAUCUUCUUAGCGUCUCCAAAACCUCCCGAGCUGGCCCCAGCUCUUUCGUGCUAGUCACAGCUCGGAUCUGGAAUUCUUGCGCUGGAGGCAGGGUUUUGGGAGGCUCUCGGAUUGAGGAAGAGAGUCCAGCGUCCCCUUUUGGUCCCUUUCCCCUUUUUAAUUGCCCCCAGACAGAAUUCCCUCUAGGUGCCAGAGCCAGCACCCUGGGGAGGAGGAACAGAGGGGAGCACGUUUUCGUGUAAAACGAAAGCCUUUUUAAAAUAAGCACUUCUCCUUAAUUCAAGAUUAUUUUCCCAGGAAGAAGCAUCAGUUCAGAGUGGAUUCAGACUGCGCGGUUUCUGAGUAUAUAUGUAUUUUGGAGGGGGCAAUUCCAACACCCUCUUCAGUUUUUUGAGGGUGGAAAAAAUAAUCUUGGUUAUUGCACCAACUCAUUCUAUACCCUGCGGUAUAGAAUAAAGGCAUCCUUUAACUUGACCACGGAGUUCUCUCUGCUUUCUCUCCCAGAGCCUUUGAACCAGGCGGGUGUGCCCUCUGGAGCCUACCUCAGCUGGACGCGCACAUUUGUAGCUGUACUCUUUUCGGAAGAGGAGGUCAGGGUGCAGGGUUCCAUGGGUUGGAAUCAAGCAAGUACUACUACUCUCCCAGAGUCUUAGCCAAUUAAACCGCUUUAUUGCAGUGUGUGAGAGGCUUCAAUUUCAACCUUGCAUUUAUUUUGGAGAGUCCUUCCCAUCUGCCAGGUCCUGAGCUGGGCGUAGGGGAUCGGGGAGGUAGAUGCUAGGAAGAGUAUUUUGAGACAUCUAACAUAUGAGUACAUCCAACCAGGCGCUGGGGGAAGAAAAUCAGGUGUUCGUGUGGGGGGAGCACCAUUCAGUGCUAGUUUCUCCUGGCAAAACAGCCAUUUUCCACUUGUCUUGUAUUUUUCCCCCAGUGUCUGCAUAUAGAGCCAAAGCAUCGAAUACCUUUAAAAUAAUUUAAACAAGGUUGCGAGUUUUGGAAAUAUCAUGUGUGAAUUUGCUUUGAUUCUUGUAUAAUUGGGGGCUGGGAAGGAAAAAGAUCAACACCAUGUCAUUGUUAGCACACAAGAAUAACUUACAAAAUGUUUUUUUGAAGUCUACUUACAGUAAUUGACUAGAAAACACCUCCCUGUUUUGUUUUUAAAGAGAAGCUGUCAACUGUCAAAUGAAGGAAUGUGGACUCCAGGAGAGAUACACCUGCAAAAAGUGCUGGCAUUCCUAGACUAACCCCACCCAUCCUGUUCUUUAAGAGUAUCUCAUUCAUCUAUCUAUCUGUCUAUCUAUCUAUCUAUCUUUGUAGUGCUGGUGCCUCAUACUUGCUAGGCAAAUAUUCUACCAUUGAGUGCACCCUCCAUCCCAAGGAUACCUUAUUUGGACCCUACUUGAUUUGAGCAGCUGGAUAUUUUUUUCUGAAAGUAAAUCCCAUAAAUGGAAAUCAUACUCAUCAUCAAACGUUUUAAUUUGGAAGUGACCUGGGUUGAGCUACGGAGCAAGAACCCAUCCUGCCAUAAUCACAGCUGAUCUCUUAGAAGCUGAAAACCCUAGAAUGAAGGUCAGGAAGGCAAUAAUUUAAAAUAGAAAAUUCCUAGCUUUAAGAAAAGAAUGAAGGCUCCAAGUGGAGCUGGGAAUUUAUAUUGUACAAAAACCCUUUGAACAAUCAUUUGACAGUAAAUGAAUUUUUUCUGGCUAUGUUUGUUGAUCUAAAUUUCCCAGUCACCCUUUGCAUGUGUGAAUUGUGAGACGGGGUCUAAGCAAAGAUGACUAAUGAAUCUUUUAGGAAUCCAUGCUUUCAAGUUGGUUUUCUGUGUGGGUCAUGGGAGCUGCUGCUCUUUAGAUACUUUAUGGGAUGGUUGUCAAGGAAACCUUGGGUAAAAUUUCGCAGGACUGUCUCUAAAAACAUUAUUCAUAAUUAAAAAAUGAUUCAUAGAAAUCACCAGAAAAAUUAUGGCAUGUUAUGUUCAAACAUGUUUUUAGGCCAUGUGGAAUAAAUAAAAUCAGGGUCUGGUUGGGUAAUACUGCCUCCCAGCCUUCCUCUGACUGUGCCAGGAGGAUCUGAUACAGAUGCACAGAUUUAAGAACAGCCUGGGUAAUAGGAAUCAAAUGACAUGGACAUUUUCUUCAGGUAUUUUUAAAAUCUUGAUGAUGCAAGUUACAAUUUUAUUUCUUCAAAAGCCCCUAAAUAGCACAGUUCAAAAAGUGAUAAGUUUGCACAAAAAGGAAUAUGGAAACCCCCACAUGACAAAAGACAGCACACUCAUUGCCACCCAGACCCACCUUGUUAUCAGCCAGCUGAUUGUGGCAGGUGUUUUGCACAUUAGUGGUGACAUCCCCAGGACCCACUCUCCUGCUACUACGCUUUGCAGGGAAAAGCAGUACAUGGAGGUGGCAAGGUAUUGGCAAUACCAACUCCUUCAGCUGGUGGUUGGUUAUGUGGGUUUAAACCCCUUCCUGGUAGAGAAGCAGGGCAGGGCUUGUAAAGGCUGUUUAGGUCAGCAGCAGCUAAUGCAUUGGCCUCACAGUUUAACUUGCCUUGGGCCCUGGUGGACUGUGACAAUCUAUGUUAGUUGCUAGUGGCUAGUAUGUAUAUAGAGAACCAGCAUUUGAUAGGGCAAUCAACUUAUCAAACAAUCCAAAUCAAAGUGGUUGUACCUGCUCAAAACAAAACAAAAAAUCCCCCCCCCCCGCAUUUAUCUACCUAAAAGAAUAGAGGCCAUCUCCAGCCCCAUGCAUAAAAUGGUCACACAUGUGCCUGACUUAUGACUUGCCAGAUCAUUUUAGUCCUUUUCACAGUCAGCCUGGGCUGGUGUAGUGACUCCCCUGGCGUGUGAAGGUGGCUAACGUGAUGGGUCGCAUGUUCUGGCUCAUUGCUCAUUUCCAUGUGCAAUCGGUGCUGGACUGACUUAGAAGCAGCUUACGCUUCUUGCGGCCAAAGGAAUGCAGUUGUCUGGACUGGAGAGCCCUCGUGUCCUCCUACACACACUGUUAUUCAUUCAGGAGACAUUCAUCAAGUGCCCACAGUGUGCCAAACCCCUGAGCCAGGCAUUUGCAUGAUAAAACUGAGUUUCUGCCACUGAGGAUAUUCUUGGUCCUGACAAUGACUGUGAGAAUCUGGCCUGAUUAUGUGUAUCAAAGGCCUUAGAAAGCUUCACAGCUUUUGAACUAGUAAUUCUAUUUCUGGUUAUGUGUCCAAGGAAAUCAUGUCUAAUACCCCCCCAAAGUCUUUUGCCUGAGUAUUUGUAUAGUAGUUAAGGGUGCAAAACUUGGUGUCAAAUCAAGGUUUGACUUCGAAAGCCCUUUGGUUUUGUUAUCUGUUCAAUGGGGGAUAAUAGCCAUUUCAUAAGGAGAUUGUGAGUUUUAAGUAAAAAAUCAUUGACAAAUAUAAUGAAUAUAAAGGGCCAAGCACACUGCUUGGGAGAAGCAAGGAUUGAAAAACUUUAGCUGUUAUUAUUGGCAUUAUUAUCACAUUAUAACUUGUAAUAUUAAACGGUAGAAUCUUAUUUAUUUGCUUUGACAUGCUGGAGAUGGAACCCAGCGAUCACACAUGCUAGGCAGGUUCUACGCUGAGCUACACCCAAGCCUGGAAUAGUUACAAUGUUAAACUCUGGAAGCAAACUUUCAUAAAUGGGUGGGGGUGAUUAAUUAAAUGUUGAUACAUAUAUUCAACCAAAAAUUAAGCAGCUAAUAAAAAGAUUUUUAAAGUUUCUAACAAGAUGGUGCGAUAAAAACCUUCCUAUAUACAAUUACUCUUCUAAGAAUCCCUUGAAGCUAGGCUUCCUGAUGUGAAUUAUUUGCAGACAAUUGAAUCACUUAUUCAAGAACCAAAGUGUAAGUCACUUUUCUGCUGCUGGAUUUCUGCCAGUAGGCCCAAGAAGUGAACACUUUUUUUUUUUUGUGAUUGUUACGUGUGUGCACACAUGCAUUUUUGGCUGUGUUGACAGAGGUCCCAAUGACACUGCUCUGAAGCCAACAGUCCCAGAGGUGGUUUGCUGAUCCUGAGUCCCAGCUAGCAAGGCUAUUGCUGGAUUGACAAUGACAGUGGCAGCUUCCUAUCCUGCUGUUGUUGGCUAUGGCAGUGUCCACAGCUGCCCUGGCUGGCCAGUCCUGCAUGUGUUAUUCUUCUGGUGAACCAGCCUGGCUGCUCUCCCCAGUCCUCCCAAUAAUUUUGUUAGUGCUAAGGUCUCUCUGUUCAAUCCCUUUCCUCUUGAAAUAGCUCAUGUGAUUCCUAAUAUUGGCAAUUAAAUCCUGAGUGAUAUAAGUUGAAAUCAUACCAGUCCUAUAAGGCUUUAUAUAUUAUACGAAUGUAAUUAAGUAAAACAACAUAACUAUAUGUGGGAAUAUUCCAGAAUGAGGUUCCUUGAGCAUGUUUAGGUAGUAAGACUGGGAGUGGUCUUUCAAUUUACCUUUCCUUGCCUCCAUUUUAAUUUAAAAAAACUUGAAUUUAAAAAAAAUUGGGGGAGAUGCUAGGGAUUGAACCCAUACACAUGCUAAGCAUACCCUCUACCCCCAAACUAUACUCCAAUUUCUUUUUUCUUUUUAAAAAUACCACUUUACGGGCUGGGGUUGUAGCUCAGUGGUAAAAUGCUUGACUUGCAUGCGUGAGGCCCUGGUUCAAUCCUCAACACCACAUUAAUAAAUUAAAAUAAAGAUAUUGUGUCCAUCUACAACUAAAAAAAUUAAAAAGAAAAUACCACUUUACUGAGAUAUAAUCAUGUACUGUACAAUUUACUCAUUUAAAGUGUACAAUCCAAUGGUCUUAGAAUAUUUACAAAUAUGUCCAGUCUCACCGUAGUCAAUUAUGGAACAUUUUCAUCAGCUCACAAAGAAACCCCACACCCCAUGGCUGUUAACCCUUCAUCUGCAUUUCCUCUACUUUCUGUUUCUCUAUAUUCCCACACUCUAGAUUUUCAUAUGAACGGAAUCAUAAAGAAGAGGUCUUUUGUGUGACUGGCUUCUUUCACUUAUAUAAUGUUUUUGAGGUUCAUCCAUGUUGUAGUCUGUAUUACUACUUCAUUCCUUUUCACCGAUGAGUAACAUUCCACUGCACAGGGAGAGCACAUUUUGUUAUCCACUUAUCUAUCGAUGACAUUUGGGUGGUUCCACCUUUUGGCUGUUUCAGAUAACGCUGCUGUAUUGCCCAACUUUUAUUGACCAUGUUCUAAUUUUAUCAGUAUUUUGAAAAUAUUAUAACAAAGAAAAUCUGGUCUAUAUAGUACAUUAGGAGGAAGACAAUAUUGCAGAUUUUGUCCUUGCAUCAUUGGCCAGUAAACUGGGCACACACUGAAACUCCAAGCCAAGCUGCCUUUGGGUCACUGGAGACAGACCCAAGAUGCACAAGGGGACCUGUGCCCCAUCCAAAAGAAGGUGAAGCUUUACCCCUUACAUGACCUUAUGUGACCUUGGUGUCCUUGACUCCCACUUAUUUGGUCUUGUAUGCUGCCUACUCUAUCUGUGACCCCACAACCAGUGACUAGUCUGUACGUGGUGCUCUUGGGCUCCAGGGGAACGACAUGAGAGACUUGUCAACCCAUCUCCACUUCAGGAAGCAGCUCUGAAGCCAGGCAGGAGGACGAUUUUGGCAACAUCAUAGAAGUCACUUGACUUGACUUGUGGGAUUUGCACAUUGAAACUUCCCUUUACUGGCUGCUGGAAAUGUUCUGCAUCUCGACUUGGGACUCGUGUGGACAGUUCACCGGGCAGUACUCGUUAGAGUCUAUAUGUCAUUAUGUUUCACUGUGUGAAAGUUACAGCCCGAUUAAAGGAGGAAAUGGUCACACAUGGUCUUUCUCUGAUCUUCCUUUCAAACUCCCAUUCCAGCCACUUGCUCCUUCCUGACCAUUUCUAAGUGGCUGCAGGCUCCUGUCACACAGCUGGUAAGGGAGAGCUCGGCUGGGACCUUUAUCCAGCAACCUGACUGGGCGCGUGCUGCUUUCACUAGGAGUCCCUCCAGAGCCUAGAAGCUGCGUGAGUGUUGAGACUUGACCUGGGAUCUUGUGGCCAGUGGGGACUAGGAAGGUCUAGGAGGCCCGAGUUCCCAGGUCCAGCGGAUGCUCUUGCCUAUCUUGUGUACCUCCUUGCAUCAGGCACAUCAUAGGUGCCCUUGAGUGAAUGGGACCAGAGUGGAGUCCUCACCAAAGACCAAGCAGGGUGUCCAUGUGUCCAGGGCUGUAAAAACCAGGCAAGAAACUCAGCUUUCAUUUCCCCGCAAGCCAACACCAGCGGAGGCUGGACUGUUGCAAGAGCAUGGAAAAUCCCCACUAGAGACACCAGAACUCGCUGGCAAGACCCGUGAGGCGUUAAUUUUAGCUUUCAAUGACUGAUGAUGCCCUUGUAUAUUUUAAUGGGUCAGGAAGAGCAUGGGUCAAAGCCAAAGAGGUUUCCUUUCCUGUCGAGCACUCGGUGAGCUGCUUGGUUUUUAAAGACUAGUUCUCUGCGUGUUUACUCAGAAUUUCUACUGUUUUGAGUCUAUUCUGAUAAUUGUGAGCCAUUCCCUAAAAAUAGUCGUGGUCUGUCCUAUCGGUCAAGUUGCCCAGAUUUCAUGCGUUAAACAUAUUGUGACUCACGGUGUCCAAUGCUAGAAAGCCAUAACCACAAAAUAAACAAAACCACGUGUCUUCCUCGGCUGAAAGGCGCACGUGUUGAGCACCAGGCCCUUGACUCGGGGAGAUGUGUACCCACAGGCUUUCCCUGUGUCUGCCUGUUUUCUUCCUUGUACCCCUGCAGGGCUUGGGGUUCCAUGCUGAGAACAGAUGCCUCCACUUGGGCUGGAACACGCCCUGGGCUUGCUGGAGACAGACCCAGGAUGUGUAGAGGACCCGUGCCCCUCCUGGGAGAAGGGUGGGGCUUGGCUCCUUCUGUGACCUUGCGUGCCCCGGCACCCUUGAUGCUCUCUGGUUUGGAUUUGUCCACUGCUUAUUGGCACCCUGUUGCUUGUCAUGUCUGGCCUCAGGUGCAUCCCAUCAGUGAAGGACCCUUUUGGACUGUUGCUUGAUGGUGGACUCUCAGUCUCCAGUAGAGCUUAGCACUUUCCUUUCUUUGCCUGCUCUGUGCAGUUUGCAAAACCCUGGAUCAUUUUUUUGCAUUCCUUCCUGGUUAAUUUAGAAAACUUAGUGGAAAAUGGAGAAAGGCAAUCACAGAUCUCACCAGUCCAUACAACUAGAAGGGAAUUGUGAUGGGAAACGGUGACUCCAGCUCCACCAGACAUGGCCCAAUGGGGAUUGAAGGAAAAGAAAAUGGUAAAGAACAUGUGUGAGAUGCACGUCAAGGGCAAACAGAUGGUGAACAGAAGAAUUCACCUCAUAUAGAAACAAAAGCUAGAGAACUGGGGUACAGCAUGUAUGUUGUAAACCUUUGCUGACAUCAUGAAUCUCCUUCAUGAUCACGCAUCAUCUGUCAGUGGCUGCUAACCUCGGGGGUGAGUAGGAGAGAGAGGGAUCUCUCCAGAGUGGUUGGCGAUCUCACCUGCCUCCCGAUGGAGCACACAGCCCUUUUAUUUUUAUCCUUUGUUGUUUCGGUACUGGGGAUUGAACUCAGGGGCACUCAACCACGGAGCCACAUCCCCUGCCCUAUUUUACAUUUUAUUUAGAGACACGGUCUCAUUGAGUUGCUUAGCACCUUACUGUUGCUGAGGCUGGCUAUGAACUCCAGAUCCUCCUGCCCUCAGCCUCCCGAGCUGCUGGGAUUACAGGAGUGUGCCACCACACCCAGCACACCCCUUAUUAAAUAUUUUACCAAAAACAAAGAUGCUGACUUGGAUUCAGUCUCUAACUAGACAUGCUGAUUAAUGUACCAGUUUUCAGGAAAUCCAGGGAUGUAGAAAUAACUGAAACCACACCAGAAUGCUCUUGGAAAAUCAGAAAGUGAAGAACUACAGGAAAGACAACCCAGUUUCUUCAGACUCUUACAGAUGCUCCAGGACCCCACCUUGCAAUCAGCUGCUGGAUUCCUCCUCCUGUCAGCCACCAGACUGAUGUCCUGCGCCUGGCCAGAGGUAGCUGAGUCAAGCCAGGCAUCCCUCCUUCCCCUAAGUCUGCCACCUCAACCCACAUGGAUGGGUGACCCCCAUGGGACGGUGGCCUUGGUAUCUGCACACACAUGGUGCCUGCAUCAGGGAUGGGCGAGUCUCACCACUACCCAGAAGAAGAACAUGCCAUGCUGUUAUUACAACCUAACUGGAUCCUUUACAAUCCAUUGUAUCUCUCAUUCUAGUUAUUUGUUGCCUCAUCACAUUGUCUAGGAUACACACACACACACACACACUUAUUUAUUUAUUUAUUUUUGUAGUGAUGAUUUAACCCAUGGGCCCUUUGCACUUCUAAGUUUUUUUGUUUUGUUUUGGUAUGGCAUGGUGAUUGUAGUUAGUAAUAUUGUAUUAUUUACUUUAAAUAUGUGAUAAGAGUAGCUAUUAAGUGUCCUCCCUCCCACAAAUGAUAAGUAAUUGUGGCAAAGGAGUUAAUUUGAUUAUGGUAAUCAUUUCACAGUGUAUACCUAUAUCAAAUUGUGUUGCAAACUUUUUAUUUUGUCAAUUUUUACCUUAAUAAAGUUGGAGAAGAAAAGAAGA